UGUGAUGCAACACGAAGACUUCCCGGGAGGUCACCCAUCCUAGUACUACUCUCGCCCAAGCCCGCUUAACUGCGGAGUUCUGAUGGGAUCCGGUGUAUUAGUGCUGCUAUGAUCUUAUCUGUUAGUAUAUGCAAUGCAAUCGUAUAUAUUCUUUUUGGAAGAAUUGAUGAACCAUUCGCCGUGGGUCCCACCCGCUGUGUAGGGAUACCCCAUCUAGUCUUAACGAGCUUUGAUGCAUGAUA
rnacentral:sRNA from 1 species